rnacentral:rRNA from 1 species
UGAGGAAUAUUGGUCAAUGGACGGGAGUCUGAACCAGCCAAGUAGCGUGCAGGAUGACGGCCCUAUGGGUUGUAAACUGCUUUUGUGCGGGGAUAAAGUGUGGGACGUGUCCCAUAUUGCAGGUACCGCAUGAAUAAGGACCGGCUAAUUCCGUGCCAGCAGCCGCGGUAAUACGGAGGAUGCAAGCGUUAUCCGGAUUUAUUGGGUUUAAAGGGUGCGUAGGCUGUUUGACAAGUCAGUGGUGAAAGCCCGGGGCUUAACUCCGGAAUUGCCGUUGAUACUGUUGAGCUGGAAUACGGAUGCCGUGGGAGGAAUGAGUAGUGUAGCGGUGAAAUGCAUAGAUAUUACUCAGAACACCGAUUGCGAAGGCAUCUCACGAAUCCGUCAUUGACGCUGAGGCACGAAAGCGUGGGGAUCAAACAGGAUUAGAUACCCUGGU